UGCUCUUCCGACCUCCUUCCCAUUGCACUUCGGCUUGGCCGGCCUACCAUCUUCCCAAAGUGGAGGAGUGGACGUUGUAAUUUGUGGAAGUUGAGGG